UNCUCAAGACUGCUGGGUUUACAGGUUC
rnacentral:piRNA from 1 species